CUAUACAUGACUCUGUGCAUAUCAAUAAGCGGAGGAAAAGCAACUAACAAGGAUUCCCUUAGUAACGGCGAGUGAAGCGGGAAGAGCUCAAAUUUGAAAUCUUCAAGGUUCUACCUUGACGAAUUGUAGUUUAUAGAAGUGUUUUCUGUUAGUAGAGUGGCAAAAGUUCUUUGGAAUAGGACAUCAUAGAGGGUGAGAAUCCCGUAUUUGGUCAUUCCUUCUAGCGUUGUGAUACACUUUCAACGAGUCCGGAUUGUUUGGGAAUGCAGUCCAAAAUGGGUGGUAAAUUUCAUCUAAAGCUAAAUAUUGGCGAGAGACCGAUAGCGAACAAGUACCGUGAGGGAAAGAUGAAAAGAACUUUGAAAAGAGAGUUAAACAGUACGUGAAAUUGUCAAAAGGGAAGCGUUUGACACCAGUGUUGUUUUUCCGAAAAUCAAUUACGAAUGUUUUGUUUUUGAGAAGUUAUGACUUCAUCGGCUUGCUUCUCUCUUUACGAAACUUUCUUAAUGCACUUUUCGGUUAACAAGUCAACAUCAAUUUCUUUUGUUGUAAAAGGGUAUGAGGAAGGUGGCUUUCUUUUCGGAGAAAGUGUUUAUAGCCUUGUAGCCUCUGCAAUCGGAGAGAUUGAGGUCUGCAGCGUAGAUCCUUCGGGGUUAGAUACACUUGUGCUAAGUUAUAGCUUUUUCAUAGACAACUUGUUGACUAUAUUUAGUCUUGUAGGCUUACUCGCUUAUGCUAUUUUACCUACGCUUAGGAUGUUGAUAGUCACAGCGUGUAC
rnacentral:rRNA from 1 species